CAUUAGGGAAUGGGGGCACCCUGACCGCAAUGCCGCGUGAGUGAAGAAGGCCUUCGGGUUGUAAAGCUCUUUUGUCUGGGAAGAUACUGACUGUCUAACACAGUCCGGCAAUGACGGUCUUUGAGCAAUAAGCACCGGCUAACUACGUGGGGCUGCCGCGGUAAUACAUACGGUGCAAGCGUUAAUGGUAAUUACUGGGCGUAAAGCGUGCGCAGGCGGUUAUACCUCACAGGCGUGAAAUCCCCGGGCUUAACCUGGGAAUGGCGCCUGUGACUGUAUGGAAUAAGUGUGUCAGAGGGGGGUUUAAUUCACGUGUAUGGAACAAAUGCGGCGAAUGUGGAGGAAUACCAAUGGCGAAGGCUCCCCCUGGGAUAACACUGACGCUCAUGCAAUAAA
rnacentral:rRNA from 1 species